ensembl:lincRNA
GGAGGAUGAAUUGGGAUAAGGUAAGUUAAGGGCUGCCUCCAUGCCUGGUAGCAGAAAGCCCUCCAGGAGCCAUAAUUCACCAAGGCUCUAACACAAAUAAAACAGACCGAAACAAUCCCUCGUGGCUACGCUCUGAGACAGACAUACACCUUUUUUAUGUGAUGGCUGCCAUAAAAACAAGUAUACACUUUUAUCCCCAUCCCUCAAAUGUGGAAACUGAGGCACAAAGAAGCUAACUGACUUGCCCUCUGUUGCACAGCUGGUAAGUGAUGAAGCCAGAUUCCACCCUAGGAGCACCGGGUCCCGG